AAGAAAUAAAGAAAAUCAAGUCUGAUGUCUGGCUAUCAUCAUCCCCGAAAAUCAUUGCAUAUGUAAAGGUCUAAACUCUAUAACUAAAGAGCGGUCCCGAAAUCAAUCUGCUCGACAAACCCAAACUUCAUUUAAAAAAUUGAUGUUAUAUUAUUGGACUAGUUUCCAGGAAUCCAAACCCCAACCUUCAUUUUCUUUCACUUCCCCUAUCCCAUAUUUUUAGCUGAAUCCAUCCCUGUUUCUAAACCCUUCAAUUUGUUAUCUACAAUUUUCCAAAAGGUAAAAUACACGAUUAUAAUUGUAGGAGAUUGAAAACAUAAUGAGUCGAAGAACCAACACUCCAAAAGUGGAAUUAAAGCUCAAGUUAUCACCAACUAGGUCGGCUAACCAACCAGUUAUUGUGUCGCCAAACACAUCAGUUUCUUCGUCACCCGGAAGCUCAUGUGUGUCUUCGGAGCCGACCGAUGACUCGACGACGAUGAUGCCAUAUCCCAGUAGCCCUGAAGGAAUGUCGAUGGUGCUGGUGGGAUGUCCUCGAUGUCUCAUGUAUGUUAUGCUAUCGGAAGUGGAUCCUAAGUGCCCCAAAUGCAAGAGCACCGUCUUGCUUGAUCUUUUUAGCCAACACAACGCCAAAAAGGCAAGCAACUGAAAGGAAAAAAAAAGGUAGGUCUACAAUUCCUCUAUAUUUAUCUAGGUUUUUCUUUCUUUCUUGCCAUAGAACAGUUUGCUUAGUUUAAUUUAAGGUUUUAUAAUAAAAUCAUUAUCUGUAUUUUGUUUUGAGGACCAUAA